AUUUCGGAAGGUGAAGACGCGGCGUGCGCGGCAGAGGUACAUGAUGUUCUCCUCGCUGAAGUUUCACCAGACGUCUAGAGAUGCCGCAUGUGACACUCAGCUACAGCUGGUCACUCUAACGUCCGAUAUUUAAAAUUACAGUCUCCCCUUUACAUGCAGGUUACCAUGGAAACUCAUCCCACAUGUCCAGAAAGACAGUGAUCCUGCAGGAAGAAGGCGAGGAAGGCGCAGUAUAGACACUCAGACAGAUGUCCACUUUCAGGAUCAGGACACAGUCCAUCAGAGUCCCAGCCUGAUCGCACUCAAAGCACACACAGCUCCCCAUUUUCCAGCGAUGAGUGUGAGCCCUCGCUGCGCCUCGGGGGGACACGCCGGGCGGCUGCUUCCAGGAGAGUUCCUCACUGCGACGUCGUCUCCUCAGCUUCCUUUUCAACUCGAUGAGAAUCUCAUCUCGUUUAUCUCACGCAGCAUAAACUCCACUUUGAUCUCACGGUCACAGCGUGAGGAUGAGCAGAAAGUGCACUUGCAGAGGUGCUCCCGGCAUGCUGAUUGUUAUCAUUCAGCCAUGUUUACUAACAACCAGGGGCAGAUUAAUGCAUAAGCAAUAGCUAUAGGGCCCUGACAAAACCACCUCGCGAAAAACAGAAGAGUAAAACUUUUUACCCCAGUACCCCAUCCUGUAGCUGAUCAGCUGUUCCAUUCCUCCACGACCCAGUCCUUCCAGUAACACCGUGGUCAGCGCGGCUCGUCCCAGCAAAGGGCCACUGGUGGCUCUGAUGCAGUCCCUAAGCAGCCCCACUCAAUCCACAAGCAUCUCACACCUUCUGUUUUAGAUUAAUGGCAAUACAACAAUCACACGAUAUCUCAUUCUUUAUCCCAGAGGUCCGGUAAGGUAAACCGCUCCCAGCAUUUCGGGCCCGAUGUGUCAUCACGCAAUGACUAAUGGACAACUUCUUGAUCUGGAACGCAACUGUCCAAGACAUUUCUCACUUCUCUUAUGGUAUUAUUGCAUUAAAGUGACUUUUUUUUUCUCUGAAUACAAUAACUUACGUUCAGAGAGACGAAGGGACAUGUGAUGACAUGCUAAUGACACCACAAUGACACAGCAGUGCGAGAACACAAACAAGUAAAAGCUUGUCACUAAGUUACAGGAAUCAUGUAUACCUCGGAGCCAGAAACCAUGGCUCACAAAAUGGAUAUCUAGAUAACUGGG